UACGUAGGGUGCGAGCGUUGUCCGGAAUUACUGGGCGUAAAGGGCUCGUAGGCGGCCAACUAAGUCGGACGUGAAAUCCCCAGGCUCAACCUGGGAACUGCGUCCGAUACUGGAUGGCUUGAAUUCGGGAGAGGGAUGCAGAAUUCCAGGUGUAGCGGUGAAAUGCGUAGAUAUCUGGAGGAAUACCGGUGGCGAAGGCGGCAUCCUGGACCGACAUUGACGCUGAUGAGCGAAAGCUAGGGAGCAAACGGG
rnacentral:rRNA from 1 species